UACGGGGGGAGCAAGCGUUGUUCGGAUUUACUGGGCGUAAAGGGCGCGUAGGCGGCCUGAUAAGUAGGGGGUGAAAUCCUGCGGCUUAACCGCAGGGCUGCCUUCUAAACUGUCAGGCUGGAGCACAGUAGAGGCAGGUGGAAUUCCCGGUGUAGCGGUGGAAUGCGUAGAGAUCGGGAAGAACAUCAGUGGCGAAGGCGGCCUGCUGGGCUGUUGCUGACGCUGAGGCGCGACAGCGUGGGGGAGCAAACAGG
rnacentral:rRNA from 1 species